ensembl:lncRNA
CUUGUCGGUUUGAGUAUGCUCCUCAGAUUAACUACAGGACACCGUUAUAUAGCUCUGAACUAACGGUUUCCCAAUCUCUCAGGUUGGUUAAGCCUUUUUAGUAAGGGUGAAAGACCAGACUUCGACAUAGCCUUUCGUUUGUUUUUUUCGGCAUCGUGCGUUCGUUGAACAGCUCAGAUCGCGUGGAGGUUUAAAUUAACUUGUUGAUGUUUUCUCACGAAUUCACAUCUUUUGAGAACUUUGCGGACGAGUGUCAAGGAAAGGGAUUAAAGCAUCUUGCAGAUUCUCGAUUUAAAUUCCCGAGUCAGUCGUAUGACAGGGACUUUGAAUCAAUGCGUAAGGGAAAUACAAUGAAAGAACUGAGGAAAGAGAAAUUGGCUGGAUCCAUGCACUGAAGAAGAUGAAAGCUGUGCCUGCUUUUGUACUCCAGGCCCAAAGCAUUUGGAGCACAUUUCGAUGAUGGGCCAAGCGGUGUGCUGUGACUGUAACUCCUUUUGACACCUGUGAAUUUACAGGGAGUGGAAAUCCUACC